CAAUGUUCUGAUUGAAUGGUGCAAUGUACGACAAUAUUUCUCUAUGACAAAACGAUUGUCCCUCGGAUAUGGAAUGCUGGCAAUCUACAAAUAUCUUCAAUUAUUUGGUCGGCUCUUAUUCAAUUGACUAAGGGAUCCACAUCCUGAAAGAAAAAUAAUGAGUCAACAAUUCAUCCGACGACUAUGUAAUUUGACGACAAAUACAAGCUUUGGCUCAAGCCCCAAGGGGCCAAAACAGAAAUAUACCAAUCUCCAGAUCAAGAUGAGUCCCAAGAGGACUAAAAUGCCGACUCGACU
rnacentral:lncRNA from 1 species